AAUGAUGGCCAGGCUGUCUCCACCCGAGACUCAGUGAAAUUGAACUCGCUGUGAAGAUGCAGUGUACCCGCGGCAAGACGGAAAGACCCCGUGAACCUUUACUAUAGCUUGACACUGAACAUUGAGCCUUGAUGUGUAGGAUAGGUGGGAGGCUUUGAAGUGUGGACGCCAGUCUGCAUGGAGCCGACCUUGAAAUACCACCCUUUAAUGUUUGAUGUUCUAACGUGGACCCGUAAUCCGGGUUGCGGACAGUGUCUGGUGGGUAGUUUGACUGGGGCGGUCUCCUCCUAAAGAGUAACGGAGGAGCACGAAGGUUGGCUAAUCCUGGUCGGACAUCAGGAGGUUAGUGCAAUGGCAUAAGCCAGCUUGACUGCGAGCGUGACGGCGCGAGCAGGUGCGAAAGCAGGUCAUAGUGAUCCGGUGGUUCUGAAUGGAAGGGCCAUCGCUCAACGGAUAAAAGGUACUCCGGGGAUAACAGGCUGAUACCGCCCAAGAGUUCAUAUCGACGGCGGUGUUUGGCACCUCGAUGUCGGCUCAUCACAUCCUGGGGCUGAAGUAGGUCCCAAGGGUAUGGCUGUUCGCCAUUUAAAGUGGUACGCGAGCUGGGUUUAGAACGUCGUGAGACAGUUCGGUCCCUAUCUGCCGUGGGCGCUGGAGAACUGAGGGGGGCUGCUCCUAGUACGAGAGGACCGGAGUGGACGCAUCACUGGUGUUCGGGUUGUCAUGCCAAUGGCACUGCCCGGUAGCUAAAUGCGGAAGAGAUAAGUGCUGAAAGCAUCUAAGCACGAAACUUGCCCCGA
rnacentral:rRNA from 3 species